UACGUAGGGACCAAGCGUUGUCCGGAAUCAUUGGGCGUAAAGAGCGUGUAGGCGGCUUGUUAAGUCUUGCGUGAAAUCUCGGGGCUCAACCCCGAGCGGUCGUGAGAAGCUGGCAGGCUAGAGUGCGGGAGAGGAGAGUGGAAUUCCCGGUGUAGUGGUGAAAUGCGUAGAUAUCGGGAGGAACACCAGUGGCGAAGGCGACUACCUGGCCUGUUUCUUGACGCUGAGGCGCGAAAGCUAGGGGAGCAAACGGG
rnacentral:rRNA from 1 species